rnacentral:rRNA from 1 species
UACGGAGGGUGCAAGCGUUAACCGGAAUUACUGGGUGUAAAGGGUGCGUAGGCGGGUUGGUAAGUCAGAGGUGAAAUCCCCGGGCUUAACCUUGGAACUGCAUUUUUAACUGGCGGGCUAGAGUAUGGCAGAGGGGGGUGGAAUUCCACGUGUAGCAGUGAAAUGCGUAGAGAUGUGGAGGAAUACCGAUGGCGAAGGCAGCCCCCUGGGCCAAUACUGACGCUCAUGCACGAAAGCGUGGGGAGCGAACAGG